CAGUCAUCUACAUUUUCCACGUUUAAACCUGAUUGAAUCAUUUCAUUAGAAUGGGCCAAACUCAAACAGCUGCAUCUAAAACUGGAAAAGCUACUGAUUAUAUUAACAUCUCUGAUCAUCAGUGUAAUGAGAAGAUAAAUGGGAAGAUCAAAAAUAGUGAUGCUUCUGAAAGUAAAGAAAGAAAGAAUUCCCAUGUCAAGGUAUUCACUAAGGAGAUGGUGGGAAUACUCGAACUGGUC